ensembl:lncRNA
UAACUCCAGAAUGUUUUAAUGGGAGCUCCGGAGCUCCAGCAGCCUCUGCUCAGCCCACCCCUGCCUUCAUUUAGAUGAGCAGCAGGAAGGGCUGUGCUGAGAGCCAGGAGCCAAGGGGAGCCCAGCACAGCCCAGCACAGCCCAGCACAGCACACACUGCGCUGAUGACAGAGGAGGACCUCAUUUCCCUUGAACCAAAGUGUGAACAUUUUAUAGCAAAGCAAAAAAGCAAACGAGGGGACGUGCAGAACCACCUGCAUUCCACAGAGCUCCCCAGAAAUGGGCCACAACGCUCAGGGAGGGUUAUGCAAGCAGCCCCACCCCUAAUGCCGAGCAUUGGGCUUCCUCCUAGUUUAAAUCUGAUGAAUUGUGCUAUUUUAAUCCACUUUUAAAGUAUGUCAUCUGUAUGCUAAUCGCUGACCUUUUCCCAGUGCCCUUCGGGCGCCCAACAAAUGGGUUACAUCUGUUACCCUGGCUGUGGUGGGCAGGUUGGGCAGUGCUGGUGCUCCUCAGCACAGUGCAGAGGCAGCAGCACCAGCACCAACACCAGCACCAACACCAGCCCCAGCACCCAAGCACAGCACUGCAGCAGCCCAGCAGGUGUGCUCACGGAGCACCUUACUGCACCUGGCAGUGUUUGCAUGUUUCCCAGGUUGCCUUAAGUUCAGCAACCCAUCACAGAGCAUGCAGUUAGAUUGCUUUUUGCCUGCUCGCUUCUGGAGUUGAACUGCUUAAUUCUCCACCGUCGUUCUAGACGCACAAAGUGCGGUAUUAGAGAAGCCAGUCACGGCGGACAGCCAUUGCAAUGACAUGUGAAGGUGGUUGUGGGGUGUGAUGGACAGCUCUCCACCCAGCUCACAUCCACCCACGUGCACCCAAAUCUUUGCCAUCCCAAAGCCCACUGCUGCCCUGCAGCACACCCGGCCCACACGUGCUCCACGUUCACAAAAGACGCAGACAGGACAGUCUUCCACAAUGAGAGCAACCUCAGUUAGUUCAGGUUUAUGACUAAAAGCCCCACAAGGACAGCCUCCUGACACGAGACGUGAGUAAGCUCCCGUGUGUCACUUCUCAUCGCCCGCCAUAUGCUUUGAUGGCUGGAAGCACGCAUGACCAGCAGAAAGCCUUGGAUGCCCUCUCCCUUUUGUAGGGCUUUUUUUCUUUUUUUCCCCAUGAAAAAGCUCUUUUUGAUUGAAGGGUUCUGAUCGCUUUAAGGGGGCUGACAGGUGUGAUGUGCAGCACAGCACCCUCAGCACCUCCCUGUGUGCUGCCUCGCUGCUGCAGAAGGCUUACACCGCCCAGUCCCAGCCACCCACAGGGGCUGCCACCGCAGAACGUUGUGUGGGACGCUGCACUGUACAGCCCCAAUCUCCAGACAGUGCUGCAGCCUCAGAGGGCACCCGGAGAAGCAGAGACAGUAACGGAACAGAAGGAGCCAAUGGGCACCAACUGCCGCCCUUCCCUGGGAAAAAGGGAAAGCAUUUCCCAGAGCUUGUUUAACCCAUCUCUGAUUUUGCUACCACCGUUUGCCAGCAUUAAAGGGCCACAAACAAACAGAAAAGAGCUGCAAAGUGGGAAGUAUUUUUGUUCUCAUUUUUCACCGGAGAUUGGAGAGCCCGGCUGGCAUCACUCCGGGAGCCGACAGCGGAGCAGACGGAUGCGCUUCUGCUGCAGCUGUGUGUGAGGGGGGACAUCACUGCUGGGUGCAGGUCCUGCCUGGGGCUGCAGAGCCCCUGGGCUCAGUGGGAGCAGUGAGGGCUGCCUGCACAGAGCUGAGCUUCAGGGACGUCUGACGGCCGUGGCUCUCCAGCAGCAGCAGACCUGUGCUGAGCUCUGCUGAAGCCCAGGAAAUGUGGUGGUUCCGCACACUUUCAGGCAGCCGUCUGACUGCUGAAUCACUGAGUCACAGAAUCAUAGGGUGGCCUGGGUUGGAAAGGACCGCAAUGAUCAUCAGUUCCAACCCCCUGCUAUGUGCAGGGUCGCCAACCAGCAGACCAGGCUGCCCAGAGCCACAUCCAGCCUGGCCUUGGAUGCCUGCAGGGAUGGGGCAUCCACAGCCUCCUUGGGCAACCUGAAUGCCCUCAUCCAUGCAGCUGGGAGCCAUCAGGUGCCUUGAUGCUGUUAUUAAGAAGACUCCAGCCUGGUGAUUACGCCCUGGCAGCAGCAGGGGCUGUUCCUGGUGCUGCUGGGGGCACACGGAGCCAGGAGCUGGGACACACUGGGCGCGUGGGUCAGAGCUGAGGCUGGCACAUGGCUUUACUCUUAUCCACACAAACCCCACGCAUCAUGCAAUACCGCCAGAUUUCAUAAAUGCACCAUGACACAAUGGUUACAUCUGGGAGUUAUUUUUGUAAAAAAAGGCACAGGGGUGAUGUGAUCCUGUCUGCUCGGGAAAAACACUGCUUUGAUCCAUACAGAGUUUAACAGCCCAUCUUGUAACGCGCUAUUGAAAAGCAAGCAGGAUCUCAAGCUGAACGCUGCCCGGCCGCAGGGUGCCUGCAGGCAGCGAUGCAGCAGCACAGCUCAGGAUGCAGCAGGGUGCUGCUCUCUGCCUGCCCACGUCCCGUGUCCUCAUCCCACCGCCCUCCCUGCGAUGCUGAGUGCUCGCUAACCGCUGGCUGUGGUAUCACCAAGGCAAAGCCCCACUCUUUGCAAAGUUCAGCAAAUGAAAAGUGCAUUUUGGGGCAGUGAAGGUGCUCGGGUGUGCAAAGCAGUGUGGAAUUUCCUGCAGCGCUCAUGCUCUGAGCUCAGCUCGCCCAUGCUGGCAAUGGCCAGGCUAGCACAGCCCCAUCGAUAGGCACAGGACUUUGGGCGUGAUAAAACUGGAACACACCCGUGAGUGUAGAGAAGCCGGGAGGUGAAUGGCACAGGAGCCAACCCAGGCAGAGCGGGGAUGUGUUAGCUUUGAUUUACCAUUGUGCACUUAUGCAGCUCCUGCAAGGCACAGAGAACCUUCAGCCAAUGAGUAAAUGAGCACACUGUGCAGGGCUCUGCCAGACCACGGCUGCGGAGCUCAGCCCCCAGAGGAGA